UACGUAGGGUGCAAGCGUUAAUCGGAAUUACUGGGCGUAAAGCGUGCGCAGGCGGUGAUGUAAGACAGGUGUGAAAUCCCCGGGCUUAACCUGGGAACUGCAUUUGUGACUGCAUAGCUAGAGUUUGUCAGAGGGGGGUGGAAUUCCACGUGUAGCAGUGAAAUGCGUAGAUAUGUGGAGGAACACCGAUGGCGAAGGCAGCCCCCUGGGAUGUGACUGACGCUCAUGUACGAAAGCGUGGGGAGCAAACAGG
rnacentral:rRNA from 1 species